AUUGAUCUAUUGUGGGCUGUACGAGACCCAACAUUUUGCCUUUACUGACAGUCACAAAAUUUUUGUUUCACCAGCGAUUUCGGAGCUAAACUGAACCGAUAAGUUUAUGUGAGUCAAACAUUGCGUGACGUGUUGAAAUAUAAGAGCUGAAGGCACGCGCUGUUUACACAAGUAAAAUGAGUUUGUCUUACAUACAAGGUUCGACGGUUUUCUCGGAAAUCGUAAUAUUAACUAGGCUUUCUUAUGUAUCACUUCGACUCAUCUUCGUAACACAGCGAUUUUUGCGACAACCUCUAAGAGCUCCGCGACAAAUACGGACUAAGCGGCGAGCGGCGCGAAUAAUGUUAACGAACCUAAGUGGGUCAAUUGAUGGGAGUCGUGACCGUUCAAAGCAUUACAAUGGUGGAAGGAUGAUGGAGAAUGUAUGCCCAUAAUUAUUAAGGAAAAGAUUGACAAUUCAAGAAGAAAUCGGUCUAUUUAAGAACGGGUUAAGGAUAGAGCGGUUCUACCAAAUUGUUACCUAUCAUGUACUUUUUUUAUGUAUUUUGCAAGAUGAUUUUAGUCAAUAUAAAUUCAUGUAGCGAUUUACUGAAACAUAUAAAUUCGAGUCUAUAAACUAACAAAGGUAGUCCACAGUUGGUCGAACUGAUUUGCAAUCCAUUAUGUUAUAAGCGAAACAUAAUCAAUAUUGUUUUCAUAAUGUCUAUUAAAACUAACUUUAUAUAUUAAACCUUAUUUGUAUAUCGCUUCAUAUUAAAAUAAACCAUAUAAAUUACGCGUCACAGCUUAUUUUCAUAAUUAGCGCAAACAUCUCACCUCGCAUUCCCUCGAGGAUAAGGCAUGAUAUUAUGAUAUUCUGAGGCGAUGCCAUGUUGGCUCGUGCACAAUAACAAUGCAGUUAUAAAUCGCUGUAUAUAUUUUUGCCGAGAACUGUAGAUUUUUCCAGGCCAAGGCGCUUAAGGGAGUCGAUGACUUGGAAAGCAUUGGU